rnacentral:snRNA from 1 species
GAACGCUAUGUUGGACUUAGGAU